rnacentral:rRNA from 1 species
AUUGAACGCUGGCGGCAGGCCUAACACAUGCAAGUCGAGCGAGCGGCGGACGGGUGAGUAAUGUCUGGGAAACUGCCCGAUAGAGGGGGAUAACUACUGGAAACGGUAGCUAAUACCGCAUACUAUCGGAUGUACCCAUAUGGGAUUAGCUAGUAGGUGGGGUAAAGGCUCACCUAGGCGACGAUCCCUAGCUGGUCUGAGAGGAUGACCAGCCAAACUGGAACUGAGACACGGUCCAGACUCCUACGGGAGGCAGCAGGGGGGAAUAGUGCACAAUGGGCGCAAGCCUGAUGCAGCCAUGCCGCGUGUAUGAAGAAGGCCUUAGGGUUGUAAAGUACUUUCAGCGGGGAGGCGUUACCCGCAGAAGAAGCACCGGCUAACUCCGUGCCAGCAGCCGCGGUAAUAC